GCUUAACACAUGCAAGUCGAGGGGCAGCACAGGUAGCAAUACCGGGUGGCGACCGGCGCACGGGUGAGUAACGCGUAUGCAACUUACCUAUCAGAGGGGGAUAACCCGGCGAAAGUCGGACUAAUACCGCAUGAAGCAGGGGCCCCGCAUGGGGAUAUUUGCUAAAGAUUCAUCGCUGAUAGAUAGGCAUGCGUUCCAUUAGGCAGUUGGCGGGGUAACGGCCCACCAAACCGACGAUGGAUAGGGGUUCUGAGAGGAAGGUCCCCCACAUUGGUACUGAGACACGGACCAAACUCCUACGGGAGGCAGCAGUGAGGAAUAUUGGUCAAUGGCCGAGAGGCUGAACCAGCCAAGUCGCGUGAGGGAUGAAGGUUCUAUGGAUCGUAAACCUCUUUUAUAAGGGAAUAAAGUGCGGGACGUGUCCCGUUUUGUAUGUACCUUAUGAAUAAGGAUCGGCUAACUCCGUGCCAGCAGCCGCGGUAAUACGGAGGAUCCGAGCGUUAUCCGGAUUUAUUGGGUUUAAAGGGUGCGUAGGCGGCCUUUUAAGUCAGCGGUGAAAGUCUGUGGCUCAACCAUAGAAUUGCCGUUGAAACUGGGAGGCUUGAGUAUGUUUGAGGCAGGCGGAAUGCGUGGUGUAGCGGUGAAAUGCAUAGAUAUCACGCAGAACCCCGAUUGCGAAGGCAGCCUGCCAAGCCAUUACUGACGCUGAUGCACGAAAGCGUGGGGAUCAAACAGGAUUAGAUACCCUGGUAGUCCACGCAGUAAACGAUGAUCACUAGCUGUUUGCGAUACACUGUAAGCGGCACAGCGAAAGCGUUAAGUGAUCCACCUGGGGAGUACGCCGGCAACGGUGAAACUCAAAGGAAUUGACGGGGGCCCGCACAAGCGGAGGAACAUGUGGUUUAAUUCGAUGAUACGCGAGGAACCUUACCCGGGUUUGAACGCAUUCGGACCGAGGUGGAAACACCCUUUCUAGCAAUAGCCGUUUGCGAGGUGCUGCAUGGUUGUCGUCAGCUCGUGCCGUGAGGUGUCGGCUUAAGUGCCAUAACGAGCGCAACCCUUGCCACUAGUUACUAACAGGUAAAGCUGAGGACUCUGGUGGGACUGCCAGCGUAAGCUGCGAGGAAGGCGGGGAUGACGUCAAAUCAGCACGGCCCUUACAUCCGGGGCGACACACGUGUUACAAUGGCGUGGACAAAGGGAAGCCACCUGGCGACAGGGAGCGAAUCCCCAAACCACGUCUCAGUUCGGAUCGGAGUCUGCAACCCGACUCCGUGAAGCUGGAUUCGCUAGUAAUCGCGCAUCAGCCAUGGCGCGGUGAAUACGUUCCCGGGCCUUGUACACACCGCCCGUCAAGCCAUGGGAGCCGGGGGUACCUGAAGUCCGUAACCGCGAGGAUCGGCCUAGGGUAAAACUGGUGACUGGGGCUAAG
rnacentral:rRNA from 1 species